AUUGAACGCUGGCGGAAUGCUUUACACAUGCAAGUCGAACGGCAGCACGGGGGCAGCCCUGGUGGCGAGUGGCGAACGGGUGAGUAAUACAUCGGAACGUGCCCGGUCGUGGGGGAUAACGUAGCGAAAGUUACGCUAAUACCGCAUACGAUCUGAGGAGGAAAGCGGGGGACCUUCGGGCCUCGCGCGAUCGGAGCGGCCGAUGUCAGAUUAGGUAGUUGGUGGGGUAAAGGCCUACCAAGCCGACGAUCUGUAGCUGGUCUGAGAGGACGACCAGCCACACUGGGACUGAGACACGGCCCAGACUCCUACGGGAGGCAGCAGUGGGGAAUUUUGGACAAUGGGCGCAAGCCUGAUCCAGCCAUUCCGCGUGCAGGACGAAGGCCUUCGGGUUGUAAACUGCUUUUGUACGGAACGAAAAGGCUCUGGCUAAUACCUGGGGCUCAUGACGGUACCGUAAGAAUAAGCACCGGCCAACUACGUG
rnacentral:rRNA from 1 species